GCUUAAUAUUGUAAAUGUGAGCGAUAAGACAACCAAUAAAGUGAAACAAGAAUUAGAGCAACCGGCCUUAAUUUUUCAUUUCACAAUUUCAGCCACGGCAUCCCUCUCUUGUCUCCGGUGUUCACGGUUCACCCUCAACAAUUUUAUUUUGUUCUCUCCACAAUUUCUCAGCCGACAACAUCUCACCUAACUCACACUCGCAUAGUAAGCUCUGAUUCUUUUUCUUUCUUAAUUUUUGAGCUAUUUAGAGGCAUAUCUCACAUUAUUAUAUAUUCUUUACUUUUAGAUUUCUCCAUCGCCUGAGAUAAUUCAACUCUACACAUUUUAAAUUGAUAUGAUUCUUUUUCUUUUAUUUUUUUUUCAAAUGCACUGUCAUCAUCAAGAGGUAGCCUUUAGUAAUGAUCUGGUUUUUGAGCUUAAAAGUUAUUCAAGCUUAUGAUUGGUUGUCUUUAAAUUUACAUCUCAUAAUUGAUAAAAUGGAUUAAAGCUAAAGUGAAAUGUUUGGUAAUUUAUUUAAUAAUAUUAAUAAUUGUUUCUAUUGCUCAUCUUAUCCUAAGGCCCAACUUUUAUUCUCAAAUCUUACUAAGUGUGGUCAUCAUGUCCGAUAAUAACGCAUGCUUGAUUUGUUCAGCUUCCAAAAGGUACACGUCAAUGGUCAAGUUUCCUUACUCCAGAACAGUAUUAAUUAUUAUUAUUUCCCUAACAAUACUACAAAUUUACUAUAUAUUUGAUAUUUUGAAAUUUUACAAUGACUAUUAUCAGUGUUGCAGUAUGUUAAUAUCAUUUUAUUUACUUUUUGGUGUAGGAUAUUUGUUUUUAAGGUGACAAAGAUAGAAUGAAGAGAAUUAAAGAAAUCACCUUAUUUUAUAAUUUAAAUUUUAAUUAUUGUUAUUUGUGUUGUUAAGAACUUGUAGUUUGGUAUUUGGAUGACUAUAUAUUAAUUUAAUCGUAGAAUAUGGUAUAAAUUAUUUGUAUUUUGUAGGAUAUUAAAUUUUUGGAUUUUUUUAUAUUUUAAUUUGCUUAAUUUUGUUUAUCAAUAAUAUUUUCUAAACGAAUUGUACCAAAUCUGAAUUUGUUUACAAUUCGUUAUGAAUUAAACAAAUUGUAAACAAAUCCAGAUUCGGUUUAAUUCGUUAUGGAUUCAUAAUAGGAUAAAUAAAUAGUAAAUGAAUCCGGAUUUAAUUUGAUUUGUUUAUUAAUUCCCCUGAACGAAUUAAACGAAUCGAACCGAAUAUUCAUUUAAUAAACGAAUCGAAUUUGAAUCAGUAAAAUUUUGAUCCAAUUUGUUUACGAUUCAAUUUAAAUUCAACUCAUUUAUUCGUUUUGCCAAACUUAAUUGGUUCACCAUAUCCUUGAGAGAGAAUAAGCCUAUCAUUACUUAUCAUAUCCUCGAGUAAGGAUAUGGUCCAUUUGAUUCUUUCUUUUUUAUGAGCCUAUCAUUACCAAUUUUUAUCAUUUAUUCGUUAUUUGUUUUCAAGUUCUCCAUCAAUGUUUCGUCGGAGAGAUUCGCAAGAUUCAGCUCACUCCAUAAUCAAUUAAUUAAAAAAAAACCAAUAACACAAAACUCGUGCUGUGGGCCCUAUUGGGCCAACCUUGCAAAAAGUACUGCAGCACAGCCCACCAACUCAGAAACCAUGCCAUGUCGGGCCACUUGCUCUCAUAGGCCUGUUUUUUAUUACUGGCACGGUCCAUCGGAUAUCCCUAAUUGUUUUUAUUAUUAUGAGACAUUCAACUGAGUAAUGUUAUAACUUUAUGAAUAUUAAGGAUGAUAAUCUGGGCUAAUGGAUUGAAUUCAUAUUGAAUCCAUAUGAAUUGAAUCAAAAUCUAGUAAAUCUGUGUCUCUUUUAGUAAAUGAAUUAUAAUAUCAAGAUUAAUGUUUGACCC
rnacentral:lncRNA from 1 species